rnacentral:lncRNA from 1 species
GGUGGGGCAUAAAAAGAUAUUUAACAAGAGGAUAAAUAUUUUAUUAAUUCACUGUGACGUUUUCAUUGGAUAUAGCUAUGUUAAUUCAUUAGAAUGUUUAAUCAACACCCUCUUUUCACUCAACCUUAGAUAUAGUUCAGUUAUAAAUCAGUAAACAUGUAAAAUGAAGAAAAAUAAUUGAACCCAUGUGAGCACAUAAAAGACAAAUUUGCAAAACCAUAUGUCCUUAUUCAGACUGUUUAGUUUUUCUUUUAAUUUAGCAGACCACACAUGAAAGCCGGUUAAAUUAUGCCAAAAUGGUUAAAGUGAUACAACAGUUCCCUAGCACAGUAUUGGAAGAAAUCAUGUCAAAAUAAAUGGACACCAGAAAAACUGUAGCAAAGAUAAACCUUGAAUUCAGAUAAUGGUUUGUAAAAUAAGAUGGAUGUUUAUAUGAUAUCUUACAAAUGCCAAUCCUUUCACAUUCACAUAAUUUUAUUUAAGUUUGUUAAUCUGAUGGAAUAGACAAUUAAGUUAUCUCUAAUGCAACUAGAUUACUCAGUCCCAAUUGAAACCUUAACUACAAGUAAAAAAUAAAAUAUAACACUUAAUAUGUAAUCAAAAUUGUAUAUCUUUAAUGCAUACUAUUCAUUUCAUUUUAUCAAUUUUUUUAAUAAUCAAUUAAUCAUUAAAAAAUACAAUAUGAGUUAAUAAGCUUUGUAUACAAUUAUCAAUAUAUAAUAACAAAUAACAAAGAAAACAAGAAAUUGAUAUAAAAAUAUAUUAGUUCUAGGUAACAUCCUCAUAGAUAUUCUGUUCUAUAACAUUUAAUGUACAUUGUACUUCCAAUACAUUUUGAUCAGUUUUAUUAGCAUUGCAUUAGGUUAUUAGUUGUUGUGCAAACAGGUUCAUAAUCUGGAAUUCCGUGAGAAAAAACAAAGAAACAGUGUCAUCUUACUACAUGCAUAUACAAAAGUAUGUUUACUGCUUAUUAAGUAGAUAAAUGAAAAUAAGAUAAAAAUUGUCAAUGAAAUAGCAUCCCUACAAAAGAAUAUAAAAUCAAAAAGAGCAUUUGUACUUCAACACAUGCAAUAUGGUAUAUAGUAUAGAGUUUAAUUUUGUUUUGUUUUGUAUUUGCCAUGUUAUGAGACAAGCUCUGUCCCAAAAACCAAUCUAAACAGCUCUUGCAUUUCAUAAACAAAAAAGGUCAAAACAAACAAAUUUACCAUUGCAUCCAUUACAAAAACAUAUUACUGCAUGUGAUCUCAGAUCAGUGUAUCAAUAUAAAACUGCAGAUCGUUAUAUCCUUUAAAUACGUACUAAUAUCAAAAUCACAUUCAUAUAAAUAUAAGGUACUCUAAAUGUAUAUAAAAAGUAGUAUACCAUCCUCUAAAAUAUUUUUAUGAAACUCUAUCACAUCUAUUUUGAUUUUCACCUGCAGCUUUUUUAAAUACCAGUGGACUUUUCGAUUAUUCAAUUUCUAUGUUAUUCUUAGCAUACAUUUUUUUAAUGAGAUUCAACUAAUACAAGCACUUACACUUAUCUGAAAAGUAUUUAUCAUUUCAACUCUUCACUGUCAAGCUGUUCACUAAAUAUGAAGUAAUUUUAUUCAGUAAAACCCAGGGAAAGAUGUGAUUAAUAUAUUUAUUAAACAAACAUUCAUAGAAACAAUAGAAGAAAGGUGAAUACCUAGCCUGCCACCGGCCCAAUCUAGCUGCGCGUCGCAAGGGACAGGUGGGGAACAAAUACCACGUGAUCGAUUCAGUGCCAGUUGACUCUGAAUCUAAAGUGAGGCUGAAUAAAUAUUUGCAUAAAUUUUGAUGUUUGAUGUAAACCAGCAAAAUUGAAAUUCAAUUCACACCUUGGUUAUGUGAAAUCUUAAACUUUUAACUUUCUCACCAGGCGAUUGCUGAUGAAAAUUAACCCUUUUCUGCCUACUAAUUAUCAUCAUACUAAUAAUUAGAUAUGAUAACACUAUACAUCAAUUCAUAAAGAACAAGAAU